GAUUAUGUGGAUAUAAAGAAAGGUUGUGUGAUGAUCCUCUUUAAUACAGAGUUCAAAGACCUAGAUGAUGUCAACACUGGAUAGGUGUUUAUGCAGAAUUUUUGCACAGAAUUUUCUUGUGGAAGAAGUGAGCAAAAACCAGAACUUGUGGGUGGUUACUGAGACUCUAGACGCCAUCGUUUAUCAUCUGUACCUGUUGUCAUGGAGAUCAGUGUGACAGACAUACUCCAGACCAUAUGGUACCACAGCUGACAGCUUAGAUUCAUCAACAGAAGCCCACCUUCUUAUCAGUAUGACAGCAAGGACAAAUCUGGUUCAGUUCAUCAAAUACAAGUAUUGGUCAUUAGAUUAACUUAGACCCCUUUCCAUACCUAGAUCGAUCUAGCAGGAUCGACCCAUCACCAGGGGAAUUUUCACUAAAUUUGAGUUCAGAUCAAGCAGCUUAGAUGUCUGGCACACCUACUGAACUUUACAUCAAUCGAAAUCAAGUGAAGUUCAAUGUGUUUAAUUCUGAAAAAUAAAAGAUAAUAUACAUAUCGUAAACUUUGAUGUUGUGAAAAACUCAAAAACUGGAAACAACUUAAAAACUGGAAUAGGGAAGAAAAGGAAGCCAAUGUUCAGAUUUUCACAUCAGAUUCUCGGAAAGUAAAUCUACUAAUUUCUCAGGUAAAAUAAUACAUUUACAGAAAAUAAAAAAAAUGGAGGGCAUCCGUAAUCCAGGGACAUCGAAUUUUUUCUGAACUAAAAAAUAAUGCUUUGAUUGUCUUUAUAUGUAUUUAUUUUAUACAGUAGUUACAUGUAGCAUGCAAUAAAGUGGCAUGGUAGGGUAUACGGAUAUGUAUGUAUGUAUGUGUAUGUUUUUGAGAAAUAUGUAUGUGAGAAGUGAUAUGUAUAGUAUUGUACAUUGUAAUGUUUAUUUUCAGUCUAAUUAAAGAAAAUAUACAUACA